rnacentral:rRNA from 1 species
GACGAACGCUGGCGGCGUGCUUAACACAUGCAAGUCGAACGGAAAGGCCCUGCUUUUGUGGGGUGCUCGAGUGGCGAACGGGUGAGUAACACGUGAGUAACCUGCCCUUGACUUUGGGAUAACUUCAGGAAACUGGGGCUAAUACCGGAUAGGAGCUCCUGCUGCAUGGUGGGGGUUGGAAAGUUUCGGCGGUUGGGGAUGGACUCGCGGCUUAUCAGCUUGUUGGUGGGGUAGUGGCUUACCAAGGCUUUGACGGGUAGCCGGCCUGAGAGGGUGACCGGCCACAUUGGGACUGAGAGACGGCCCAGACUCCUACGGGAGGCAGCAGUGGGGAAUAUUGCAAAAUGGGCGGAAGCCUGAUGCAGCAACGCCGCGUGCGGGAUGACGGCCUUCGGGUUGUAAACCGCUUUCGCCUGUGACGAAGCGUGAGUGACGGUAAUGGGUAAAGAAGCACCGGCUAACUACGUG